ACCAGACUCCUACGGGAGGCAGCAGUGAGGAAUAUUGGUCAAUGGGCGGGAGCCUGAACCAGCCAAGUCGCGUGAGGGAAGACGGUCCUACGGAUUGUAAACCUCUUUUGCCGGGGAGCAACGGGGUCCUUGCGAGGGCCCAAUGAGAGUACCCGGAGAAAAAGCAUCGGCUAACUCCGUGCCAGCAGCCGCGGUAAUACGGAGGAUGCGAGCGUUAUCCGGAUUUAUUGGGUUUAAAGGGUGCGUAGGCGGGCUGUUAAGUCAGCGGUCAAAUGUCGGGGCUCAACUUCGGAAUUGCCUCUGAUACUGUUCGGCUAGAGAGUAGUUGCGGUAGGCGGAAUGUAUGGUGUAGCGGUGAAAUGCUUAGAGAUCAUACAGAACACCGAUUGCGAAGGCAGCAUACCGGCGCCCAACUGACGCUGAAGCACGAAAGCGUGGGUAUCGAACAGGAUUAGAUACCCCUGUAA
rnacentral:rRNA from 1 species